AUACGUAGGGGGCAAGCGUUAUCCGGAUUUACUGGGUGUAAAGGGAGCGUAGACGGCAUGGCAAGUCUGAAGUGAAAUGCGGGGGCUCAACCCCUGAACUGCUUUGGAAACUGUUAAGCUAGAGUGUCGGAGAGGUAAGUGGAAUUCCUAGUGUAGCGGUGAAAUGCGUAGAUAUUAGGAGGAACACCAGUUGCGAAGGCGGCUUACUGGACUGUAACUGACACUGAGGCACGAAAGCGUGGGGAGCAAACAGGAUUAGAUACCCUGGUAGUCCACGCUGUAAACGAUGAAUACUAGGUGUAGGGGGUAUCAACUCCCUCUGUGCCGCAGCAAACGCAAUAAGUAUUCCGCCUGGGGAGUACGGCCGCAAGGUUGAAACUCAAAUGAAUUGGCGGGG
rnacentral:rRNA from 1 species